GGACCUCAGAUCAGGCAAGAUUACCCGCUGAGUUUAAGCAUAC
rnacentral:rRNA from 1 species